AUUGAACGCUGGCGGCAUGCUUUACACAUGCAAGUCGAACGGCAGCGCGGGCUUCGGCCUGGCGGCGAGUGGCGAACGGGUGAGUAAUGCAUCGGAACGUGCCCAGUAGUGGGGGAUAGCCCGGCGAAAGCCGGAUUAAUACCGCAUACGACCUGAGGGUGAAAGCGGGGGACCGAAAGGCCUCGCGCUAUUGGAGCGGCCGAUGUCGGAUUAGCUAGUUGGUGGGGUAAAGGCUUACCAAGGCGACGAUCCGUAGCUGGUCUGAGAAGACGACCAGCCACACUGGGACUGAGACACGGCCCAGACUCCUACGGGAGGCAGCAGUGGGGAAUUUUGGACAAUGGGGGCAACCCUGAUCCAGCCAUGCCGCGUGCGGGAAGAAGGCCUUCGGGUUGUAAACCGCUUUUGUUCGGGAAGAAAUCCCCUGGGCUAAUACCCCGGGGGGAUGACGGUACCGGAAGAAUAAGCACCGGCUAACUACGUG
rnacentral:rRNA from 1 species